rnacentral:lncRNA from 1 species
GCGUCCCCUUCCACACUGUGGAAGGUUUGUUCUUUCGCUCUUUUCAAUAAAUCUUGCUACCGCUCACUCUUUGGGUCCAGACUGCCUUUAUGAGCUGUAACACUCACUUCCAAGGUCUGCAGCUUCACUCCUGAAGCCAGUGAGACCACGAGCCCACCAGGAGGAACGAACAACUCCAGACGCGCCGCCUUAAGAGCUGUAACACUCACUGCUAAGGUCUACAGCUUCACUCCUGAGCCAGCGAGACCACAAACCCACCAGAAGGAAGAAACUCCGAACACAUCCAAACAUCAGAAGGAAUAAACUCCGGACACGCCGCCUUUAAGAACUGUAACACUCACCGUGAGGGUUUGCGGCAUCAUUCUUGAAAAUCAAGUUAAAGUUUUGUUCUGAAAUUUCAAGGCCUUUCACACCAAUUUGAUACGGUUUGGAUUUGUGUCCCUGCUGGAAUGUAAAGUUGAACUGUAAUCCCGGAUGCUGGAGGAGGGACCUGCUGGGAGGUGAUUGCAUCAUGGGGGCAUAUUUCCCCCUUGCUGUUCUCUUGAUGACACAAUUGAACAGCAGAACUCUUGCUCCCAUGAAUUGGCGAGUAUAGUCAGAAGUCUACCCACUGUGGAUGGGAGACAGAAAAGAAAGAAAGAGCCUGAAUUACUGAGGGGCCUGAACAGAACAAAAUGUCAGAGGAAAGUUGAAUUCGCUCUCUGCUUGUGAGUGCUUGAACUGGAACAUGGAUUGGCCCUCAGUGCUCCUGUUUCUUAGGCCUUCAAGACUAGAUCAGAAUCUUCACCAUCAGCACUGUUGGUCCUCCUGCUUUCAGGCCUUCAAACC